rnacentral:lncRNA from 1 species
AUGGAUCUAUUUCAGAUUAUUUAGAAUUGAUCAUUGAUUCUUUAACGCUCCUAUUUAUUCCAAUAAAUUAGUUUAGGAUGUGGAAGACGCUUCUCACAAUCCAAAUUCCUCCUUAGUUCUAGUUUGAUUAGGAAACGUUCGCUAAUCAAACACUAGUUAACAAGUUGCCAAGGAACGUCCUUGGGGCUUUUAGCAUCGAACAACUGUUAACUGCAUUAAGACUUAGAGAAA